rnacentral:tRNA from 1 species
AUCUGACUUUUAAUCAGGUGGUCGCAGGUUCGAUCCCUGCACGGCCCACCA